GUCGUACAUGUUUAAAUGUCUAAAACAUUUUAAUAUUGGAGAAUCAAUUUUAAAAUGGGUCAAAUUGUUCUGUAAUGAUACAAAAAGCUGCAUUUCAAACGAAGGACAUAGGUCUGACAUUUUUUAUAUAAAAAGGGAGGUCGUCAAGAUUGCCCCCUGUCCCCUUAUCUUUUUAUUAUAUGCAUUGAAAUUCUUCCCAUAGCUGUUAUGAAAAAUAAGGACAUUAAAGGACAACAAAUUCAUAAAUUAAACUUGGAACCAAAAAUAACAGUAUUUAAGAAUACACUUCUUACAUGGAGUAAAUGGGCCAAGUUCCAAAACUGAUAUAUCCAUUGAUGGUUCUGGCAAACCCGUCUCUGAAUAUUAUACAGAAAAUAAAAAAAACUGCAAGUUUGAUCGAUUUUUGGAGUCAAAACCAUAUAAAAUAGCAAGAAAUAUAAUUAUUCCAGAAUAUGAAAAUGGAGGCUUAAAAAUGAUAGAUACAGAUGCAUUUUAACUGCCGUAAAAGCUAGUUGGAUAAAAAGAUGAGUAAAAAAAAAUGCAGAAUGGCAAGAAUUGUAUGGACAAGAACUCUAGAAACAUGGAGGUCUCGCCUUUUUCAAAUCCAAAAGUAAACAAAAACAUGUUCCUGAUCUGAAGUAAAUUUUCCUUGAAGAAAUUUUAAAAUAUUGUGCAAGGUUAAUUAUAAAGAAGAAAUUAAUUGUAUUUCAACACAAAUAUUAUGAUACAAUAGUCAUUUAUUAGAUAACAAAGGAAACAAAUUCUUCUAUAAACAGUGGCUAGAAAAACGCGUAGUAUAUUUAAAACAUAUUUUGACUACAGAUCAAAAGAAUUCUAUACGUUCAAUUUCUUGCAGUUUGUUUGGUGAUUAUUUUGAAUACUAUCAAAUGAUAAAAUAAUUAAAAAAGUAUUGGAAGAACAAACUUAUAUUAGAAGACUUAAACGAAGUAUAAGAGCCAGAUUUCCUUAUCGAAAAAAAUGUAUAUACAAAAGUAAAUAAAAUGUUGUAUAAUUUGGAACUUAAAAACAAACUUCAUUUGAAUAACUUAGCUAGGAAAUAAAUGAAUUGAAUAUACUAAUGAUAGAUCUACUGCUAUUCCGCCGAAAACUACUAUAUACUGUGCAGAAUUUUCUUUCCCUCUUUUGAAUGCAUCACGGUAAAAUGUUGCUUUUUAAAAUUUCGAGAUUUCUUUUUUUAAUUUAUACUAAAUUUGUUGUAGGUCGAUUGUGGAGUUAAACCUUUUAUUAUUUUCUUCUAGUUAUUCUUGGAAUAUAGACGUAAGCAGACAGAAGGGAUUAAUUCUGAAAGUCACUUUUAUUUGAUAUGUAUAUAAAAAAAAAAGUGAAAAUAAAACCAAUAAGGAUUAAUUAUUAUCUUGUUGAUUAAAAACUUGCCACAACUUGUUGGAUGGAUAUAGCAACGGUCAAUGGCGUUUACAAGCAGUAUCGUUUGAACGUUUUGCUUGGUAAUUUGUGUGAGCUAUAAUCUACUUCAUAGAUAAUUCAUUUUCAAAACGUUUGCAGAAAGACUCACACUUUCACUGUAUUAAAGAUAUACCACCAAUAAUCUGGAAGAAAGCACAACUUAUGUUUCUCUUACUUUCGAAUGCCUAAACCAAUUUAUGGAUAUUGCACAAGAACCGAUUGUACAUAUAAAACUGUUAAGAAUCAAACAACAAACUUGACAAAUAGUUUACGUUCGGCAAGUACCUUCUCUGGAAACUCAUUCAAUCAUUAUAUAAGAGAAGAAAUGCAAAGGGUUGAUAAAAUUUCAAAUACGCAGUUAUGUUCAUGCUAGAAUUAUAUUUUUUUAGAUAAAUUGAAUGAUUAUCCUUUCAGAUAAAUUGAAUGAUUCUUGAAGUGUUAUCCCGCAUAUCACGAAAGAUAAAGAUUCUAGCGACAUCAGUAAGUAACAAGAAGACGAAAGGCACUGGAGUGGCAACACAGGUCUUCUCUAACAUGACGAGAAAACGAAUGCUGACAGUGUCAGGUUUAGAAAUGAUGCACCGUCAAUUUUGUUCCACAUUUGUACUGAAACCUUGGUUGAAACACAAAAGUAGAUGACGGAUAUAUCUUUACAUGUAACAGUGACAGAAACAACCGCAUUUAAAGAUAGUCAUUAAAUAAAUAGAAGAACCCAAGCGGUAUCGUAUUGCAAUGAUUGUGUGCAUGAAUGGAACAUUACAAUACUGUCUCCUACUUCCAAAGGUGACAAAUAACAAUCACUACGGACAACAGCUUUCAUCAAUGGGUAUUGGAAAAGCUUAAAGCAAUAUUUGUAUGCCUUACAAUUCUCUGUUUUUGAUCAGAAUUGGAAAUUUCGCGAAGAAGUGGUUGUGUUUUUGAAAUUAAGUAUUUAGUGUUUAGAAUCUGAGUUAAUCCUUAAUACAAUUUGGGUAUUACAUAGGUGGAGUGAAGGAAUAUGAUUAUUUGUGAUAUUCAAAUCAGACCUCAAUUUUAGUAUAAUCUGGAAUAUACGUACAUAUAAUGGAGGAAUACGGUUAUUUAUAAGAACGUUUUAUAGUGAUUCAGAUUGGAUGGAUUUUGUUUUCAACAGUUUGGAUUACAUGUAUACAUAGAUAAAGUGAAUGAUUAUCAUUAUUUAAUGAUAUUCAAAUUGAAUUAAAUAAAUAACCAGUCUUGAAUACCUAGAUAUAGUGCAUGAAUAUUAUUAUUGGUGAGUAAGUUUCUUCUAAUUAUGUCUAUGUAUUCAAAUCGAAUAUAAUAUUCAAAACUUUUGAGACAGACACAUAUAAGAUGAAGUAAUAUUAUAUUAAUUGAUGAGUACAUCGUGUUCUAAUUUUUAGACAAAAAUACAAUGAAAAAACAUUUAAUAGACUGUAUUUUACAAUUUGAAAAAUAAUACUCAAUAAAUAUUUUGGGAAGACAAAAGUAACGUGUACGGUCAGUUGAAGGGCAGGUAAUUACAAAUUCCAACAGUCUUAUAAUCAAUAUAUGAGCUUGGAAAAAUUGUUUUUGAAGAAAUAAAAAAUUUCAUUUAAAGUAAUGGCGCAGCAAUAUGAAUUCAAUGUCCUUUUUAAGCUCUAAAAAUAGAAUCUUAAUUUCUCGUUCGCCUUCGCUAGACAAGUUUUUACAUGUACUCCUGUGAUGACAGUUUCUGCACUUUUCCUUUGAACGUAAAAUCCAUAGAGCACGCAUAUUCAUUAAAAAGAUAAAUGUAUCUAUGAAAUCCUACAGCAUAUUUUUUAUUAUGUCGCUAAACUGUCAAUCUUAUACAAACGCUAAUAUACUCUGGAGAAGUUACUGACAAUAUAAAAAGGAACACAUAAUCUUACUUAUCUGAAUUUAAUUCAGUGCAUUAAGAGUUGCUUCGUUCAAAUGAACGUUCAUCCAAGUUUCUUUGACAUGAAGAAAUGCACACUCCAUUUAACAUUGCGGGAAUAUAUAUCAGAGUAAUUGUAUUGAUGGCAACCACAUACUUAAAGUGUUACCAUUUGAAAAAAAAAAAUAAUCGACAAAAAUACAUGAAUAUUUUCGACAAUUCCCUUGAAAAAGAAUUAAACGAUUUACAUUACAAAAACCGUGUUUUAUAGAACGACAAUAAUCAAGUGCUAAUACAAAGUCGUUUUGCUCAUUUCUUACGCCUUCCGUACAUUUAUGGUCUGUUAGAGUUGUUUCCUUUACAGCUCAGUAAUGUUAGAGGACUAUCUCAAUCCGAAAAUUUAUUUUUGUAAAAGUAAAUUAACAUUUUUCUUCGCAUUGAUUAUUUUUAAUUUUUAGGGGUUUUAUUUGGAUAUUUUUUGCUAAACAAAUUAGCAAAAAUAAUUAAAUAGUAUUAAUGCAAUGGACAUAACAAGAGACCCGAAAUCCAAAAUUUCAGGUACAAGCGUACACCGAACAUAGAUAUUUUCUUAAAAUGUAAGUGCAAAAUCAUUGACUAAACGGAAUUUAAGCAAACCGGUCUUGAGCAAGUUUUGAAAGGAUGAAUAUAAUACUGCAAAUUAAUUUCUUUUAGUUUCUUGUUAAAAGCAAAAGGUAUUACUUAGUGAUAAUUUGUCAGGAGAUUUUGCAACUUUGCAUUACUUAUAAAAGCACUAAUGCGAAAUUAUUUCGUUUCAGAAAAUUAUUUAUCAUUGCUUCUAUGAAAACUCCUUGAAAAUACGAUAAGAGUUUUAUUUACCCACCUUUGCUUUCAAUUAAUUUGUAUUACAUAGACCUCAUUUAACUGUAAAAAAAUCAUAACAGCUCCCGUGUUUGUCUGAUAUUAAUACACGUCAUUUUAAGAAAUUAUAAUGACAGUUUUCGCUCACAUUGUGUUAUUCAGUUUUAAUGCAUCCAAAGGAAAUGAACAUACUCCUUACAAUUAUUGUUAGUAAUUGCCUAAUGUUAUUUGUUGAGAAUAUGUUAAAUAUUUGAAUAAUGCCCUGGUCCACGGGCUCAAUUCAAAGAAUUAAGGCCUGGUCUAGAAAAUGUUCAGACUCAUAUUGUUGCUACAUUAUGAUAUAACAUUAAAAUAUGUUGCUGUACAAACGCCAAAUAUGAAAAGUUUGAAAAGUCAUGGGGAAAUUUUAGACUCUUAUUGCAAGAAAAACAUGAUAUACAUACUAUAUGAGUUUGGUGUAAUUUUUUCUAAAGUUACAAUUUCUUUUCAUAAUCAUUCCGAAUGGUAGCAGAAAUACUGAAGCUUUUAAUUCUCACUCUUCACCACUCUACAAUGGGAUGCUCCACCAACAUUUUCAACAAUUCCUAUCUUUCUUUUUUUUGACACCUUACAGUAACAAUGAAAUCCUAGUAGUUUGCACUGAAACCUAUUAUAAGUUUUUCUGCAGCAGACUGGUCUGUGUAAAUAGCAUAAGUCUUGGUUGUUUCAUUGUUGUUGUUUUUUAUGAAAUUUGAUAAAUUUCUCGGAGAAAUACAUUUGUUUAUAUUCUUCAACAUGCAUUUAUGUAAAAAAUGGAAUCAGUAUAAUUAAUGAAAAUAUAUACAACAGAAGCGAAAAUAGUAAUUGGCUCUCCGACACCACUCUCCACAAUAACGAGAAUAAUAAAGCGGCAACGUCUGAUCUGGAAAUUAAAAAAAUAUAUAUUCGCGUGGAAUAAAUUAAUAAAUACGUUAUGAUGAAAACAAUAUAAAAGUUUAAUAUAUGUAGAAGCGUUUUUCUUAUUUCUUUAAUAAUCUUAGGAUUUGUUAUAAUAUGAGACAACAAAUAUCACUUUCAAUAUCAUGUCUUAAAUAACAAAACUGCCGAAGGUCUUACUCAAGUUUAUUUACAAAUAAGCAUGAGUCCCACUUUAUGUGGGCAGCAUCAGCAUAUACAUUUCUAUAAUACAUACAUUCAGUAAUAUAUCACAUGACAAAAAGGAAAACGGCUACAAAUUGUUAAUAUAUAGGGCUAUAUACAAUGACUGAUUUCUUAUAUAUAAACACAGUAAUACACUUUACAGUAAAAUAUCUUCUUUGCUCUAUGAAAAAUAAUUGUUUCUCUAAGAAAGAAUCCGUAUGUGUUUCUUCUUAUUAUUAUUGUUGUUGUGCGUAUCGUUAUUAUUAUUAUUUAAAUGUUUACUGUAUUAUAAAUAUGUUUUAUUAUAAAUAUGUAUUGAACUCCUAGCUGCCUAAAAAUGAAGAGACGAAAGCUUUAGACGAGCAAGAAAGUUAAAUACAAGAGAAUAGUCUGAAAUAACUUGACCAACUGUGAAAGCAGUCAAACUGUACAAUCGAAAGUCAGGCUAGACUGCUGAUGUAGUCAGUUACUUUCUACAUGUAUAUUUUUAAAAAGCGAUAAGUAAUAUAUACUUAACUGGUGAGAUAUAUAUAUAUGCGAAAUUAUUACUAAGUGGGAAUUGUUUAUUCAAGCGUGAUUAAGAAAUUAGUAAUAGGGACAGUAUACCACUUUUUGAAUAAUACAGGAUACUAACAGUAUACUUUUAUCAACUAAUAUACGAAAAUAAUAUAAAAGUUAAAUAUAUAGGUAGAAGCGUUUUUCUUAUUUCUUUAUUAAUCAUAGGAUUUAAUAUGAGAAAACAAAUAUCACUUUCAAUAUCAUGUCUUAAAUCACAAAACUGCAGAAGGUCUUACUCGAAAUUAUUACUAAAUGGGAAUUGUUUAUUCAAGCGUGAUUAAGAACUUAGUAAUAGGAACAGUAUACUUGUUUUAGAAUAAUACAGGAUAAUAACAGUAUACUUUUAUCAACUUAUAUACGAAAAUAGUAUACACGUAAAAAUAGUUAAAUUUGCUUGUUGAUGUAUCUAGGAAUUUGAAUUUACCUAAAACAUGUAACAGCCCCAACAUGUAAAAUUGGAAACAUGAAUCAGCUGAAAUGUAAAAUGCAUUACACGCAGAAGAAAAAAUAAAUGUACAUAAUAAUUACGCCAAGUAAGUUAAUGCAAUAGCCCUUGAAAAUAAAAUGAAUAUUGCAAUGUCUUCGUGUUACUACGAUGUCAAUGGAAACAAAACGUAUAUAAACUUCAACCUCAGCUUAGAAUUAUGAUAUUUUAUACUCGUCAUUGUUAAUUAUAUAACGAAGCCUUUCUUGUAUCAUUUUGUAUUUCGGAACAUCUAUACAGACAUUUUAGGCGAAAUAUUCUGUACAUAACUUUGACUUCAAACAGUAUUUUCAAGCGGUUUUUGUUUUGAAAAGAUGUUUGUUAGCUUGUCAUAAGUAUUCCCUCUCCAAUGUUAAAUUUACGUCAUAGGUACCACGGUCAGCCUACACCUUAACUUCCUAAAUAUA